rnacentral:lncRNA from 1 species
GAAAACAAACAAAUGAAUGUAAACUGCAUUUCCCAAAUUAGAAUUCUUAUUUAGAAUUUUCUUAUUAUAUAGAUACCUAUAAAGUGUCGGAAUGUGAAGACAAAGGCUGGAAGCGCACAAUAAGAAAGGCAGUUCUUUUAAGGACAACAAAAACUAUGAGUAGUGUUAGAUAACUAGUAUCAUCCGCCUGCAUUCAUGCAUUCACGGCUAAAUGUUAUCAUGCAUUAUUUUGUUGAAUUGCCAUAUUAUGAUGCACUAUUUGUUGAUAUUAAAAAUUGUUUGAUUACUUGUGCUAUGAAUAUACUNNNN